rnacentral:rRNA from 1 species
GUGCCAGCCGCCGCGGUAAUACGUAGGGUGCGAGCGUUAAUCGGAAUUACUGGGCGUAAAGCGUGCGCAGGCGGCUUCGCAAGUCAGACGUGAAAUCCCCGGGCUUAACCUGGGAAUGGCGUUUGAAACUACGGAGCUGGAGUGUGGCAGAGGGAGGUAGAAUUCCACGUGUAGCGGUGAAAUGCGUAGAUAUGUGGAGGAAUACCGAUGGCGAAGGCAGCCUCCUGGGCCAACACUGACGCUCAUGCACGAAAGCGUGGGGAGCAAACAGGAUUAGAUACCCCAGUAGUCC